rnacentral:hammerhead_ribozyme from 15 species
CAUCAGUACGCACCUGCUGAAGUAUGCUGACGAGUCCCAAACUAGGACGAAACGGUUG